UGGGUAACCUGCCCUUAACUCUGGGAUAAGCCUGGGGAAACUGGGUCUAAUACCGGAUAUGACUCCUCAUCGCAUGGUGGGGGGGUGGAAAGCUUUAUUGUGGUUUUGGAUGGACUCGCGGCCUAUCAGCUUGUUGGUGAGGUAAUGGCUCACCAAGGCAUUGACGGGUAGCCGGCCUGAGAGGGUGACCGGCCACACUGGGACUGAGACACGGCCCAGACUCCGUACGGGAGGCAG
rnacentral:rRNA from 1 species